UACGUAGGGGGCUAGCGUUGUCCGGAUUUAUUGGGCGUAAAGAGCGUGUAGGCGGCCAGAUAGGUCCGUUGUGAAAACUCGAGGCUCAACCUCGAGACGCCGAUGGAAACCAUCUGGCUAGAGUCCGGAAGAGGAGAGUGGAAUUCCCGGUGUAGCGGUGAAAUGCGCAGAUAUCGGGAAGAACACCCGUGGCUAAGGCGGCUCUCUAGUACGGUACUGACGCUGAGACGCGAAAGCGUGGGGAGCGAACAGG
rnacentral:rRNA from 1 species